rnacentral:rRNA from 1 species
UACGGAGGGUGCAAGCGUUGCUCGGAAUUAUUGGGCGUAAAGGGUAGGUAGGUGGUCUCAUUUGUCUGGGGUGAAAGCCUUGAGCUUAACUCAGGAAGUGCCCCGGAAACGGUGAGACUAGAGUCUUGGAGAGGGUCGUGGAAUUCCCGGUGUAGCGGUGAAAUGCGUAGAGAUCGGGAGGAACACCAGAGGCGAAGGCGGCGACCUGGACAAGUACUGACACUCAACUACGAAAGCGUGGGGAGCAAACAGG